CGGAACAACAGUCCAAAGUACUCCAGCAGAUUUCAGCUCCAUUUGAGGAUUCUCCUCAUGCUUUUAACUCCACAUCCUGAGCAAGUGGUGGUCCAACCAAAAUGCGCAUGUGUUGGACACCUGAGGCCUUUGCUGAAGCAGUCAAUAAACUUGGUGGCAGUGAGAGAUCUUCAGAGAAAAAGUUUACCUGCAUUGAGGAAGUCGCAUCUCUGGACUUGAAAACGGGUAUUGAGCUCACUGAAGCAAUACGAUUACAGAUGGGAGUCCAAAAGCCCUUGCAUGAGCAGU